rnacentral:snRNA from 1 species
UAGUGAUACAGCUCUUUCAGAAUUUGUCUAGUAGGUUUUCUGGGUUUUGCCGGGCAGCCUUC